rnacentral:rRNA from 1 species
AACGAACGCUGGCGGCAUGCCUAACACAUGCAAGUCGAACGAAGCCUUCGGGCUUCGUGGCGCACGGGUGCGUAACGCGUGGGAAUCUGCCCUUGGGUUCGGAAUAACAGUUAGAAAUGACUGCUAAUACCGGAUGAUGUCUUCGGACCAAAGAUUUAUCGCCCAAGGAUGAGCCCGCGUAGGAUUAGGUAGUUGGUGGGGUAAUGGCCCACCAAGCCGACGAUCCUUAGCUGGUCUGAGAGGAUGAUCAGCCACACUGGGACUGAGACACGGCCCAGACUCCUACGGGAGGCAGCAGCGGGGAAUAUUGGACAAUGGGCGCAAGCCUGAUCCAGCCAUGCCGCGUGAGUGAUGAAGGCCUUAGGGUUGUAAAGCUCUUUCAGUGGGGACGAUAAUGACGGUACCCACAGAAGAAGCCCCGGCUAACUUCGUGCCAGCCGCCGCCGUAAAAC